AACGAACGCUGGCGGCAUGCCUAACACAUGCAAGUCGAACGAGACCUUCUGGUCUAGUUUCUCACGUGUGCGUAACCCGUUGGAACCUGCCCUUAUGUUCCGUAUAACUCCCCGUAAGGGGUUCUAUUACCGCAUAAUGUCUUCGGUCCAAAGCUUUAUCGCCUUUGGAUGGGCCCGCGUUGGAUUAGCUAGUUGGUAGGGUAAAAGCCUACCAUGGCGACGAUGCAUAGCUGGUUUGAGAGGAUGAUCAGCCACACUGGGACUGAGACACGGCACAGACUGGUACGGGAGGGAGCAGUGGGGAAUAUUGGAAAAUGGGCGAAAGGCUGAUAAAGCAAUGCGGCGUGAGGGAUGAAGGCAUUAGGGUUGUAAAGCACUUUUAAACGGGAUGAUAAUGACAGUAACGGGAGAAUAAGCACCGGCUAACUACGUG
rnacentral:rRNA from 1 species